rnacentral:rRNA from 1 species
UACGGGGGGGGCAAGCGUUGUCCGGAAUUAUUGGGCGUAAAGGGUGCGUAGGCGGCGCGGUAAGUCGGGUGUGAAAUCUCGGAGCUUAACUCCGAAACUGCAUUCGAUACUGCCGUGCUUGAGGACUGGAGAGGAGACUGGAAUUCAUGGUGUAGCAGUGAAAUGCGUAGAGAUCAUGAGGAAGACCAGUGGCGAAGGCGGGUCUCUGGACAGUUCCUGACACUGAGGCACGAAGGCCAGGGGAGCAAACGGG